ensembl:lncRNA
GAAAUGUGUUGCAAAACUAAACAGUCAUUUGAUAUUGAACAAGUUCAGAUAGUUUUCUACCUCCUGUUUCACUGUGUUUUCUUCUGUAUUGAGCUUCUAAACACGACCCUGUCCGUUAUUGACUUCUUCUCUGUCCGUCUCUGUAGUGGUCUGUUGUUGUUGUUGUAUUGACCAUGUUGUCCUCUGUUGUUAUUUACACCAGUGGCCUUGGCCUGUUGUUGUUGUUGUUGUUGUUGUUGUAUUGACCAUGUUGUCCUCUGUUCUUAUUUCCCCCAGUGGCCUGUUGUUGUUGUUGUUGUUGUUGUAUUGACCAUGUUGUCCUCUGUUCUUAUUUCCCCCAGUGGUCUGUUGUUGUUGUUGUUGUUGUUGUUGUAUUGACCAUGUUGUCCUCUGUUCUUAUUUCCUCCAGUGGUCUGUUGUUGUUGUUUGGUCUGUUGUUGUUGUUGUAUUGACCAUGUUGUCCUCUGUUCUUAUUUCC